AGGCUAGGGCUUAGUGGGCAAGGCCUUAAAGAGUGCUGACUGUGUGGUCAAGGUCUUUUGGCAAUGAGUGGAGCUGGUACUGAGUGGGCGGGGCCAUUAUGGGGCGGAGCCUGGCGUGGAAUUGUUAGCCGGGUCCUUUUUGCUCUGGAGCAUGAGACAUCGUACUCUAGCCUCUUUCCCGGCCCUGUGGGCCUCCAUCCCCUGUCCACGCUCGGAACUGCGCCUGGACCUGGUUCUGGCUUCCGGACAGUCCUUCCGGUGGAGGGAGCAAAACCCUGCGUACUGGACUGGCGUGCUGGGGAACCAAGUAUGGACACUGACCCAGACUGAGGAGCAGAUCUACUGUACUGUGUACCGAGGGGACAAGGGUUGGGUUGGCAGGCCCACACCAGAAGAGCUAAAGACUGUGCACCAGUACUUCCAGCUGGAUGUCAGCCUGGCUCAACUAUAUCACCACUGGAGUUCCGUGGACCCCCACUUUCAAGAGGUGGCUCACAAAUUCCAAGGUGUUCGACUUCUGCAACAGGACCCUGUCGAGUGCCUUUUCUCCUUCAUCUGUUCCUCCAACAACAACAUUGCUCGCAUAACCGGCAUGGUAGAACGCCUCUGCCAGGCUUUCGGACCUCGGCUCAUCCAGCUGGAUGAUGUCACCUACCAUGGCUUCCCCAACCUGCAGGCCCUGGCUGGGCCAGAGGUAGAAGCUCAGCUCAGGAAGCUGGGCCUGGGGUAUCGUGCCCGCUACGUGAAUGCCAGUGCCCGAGCCAUCCUAGAAGAACAGGGCGGGUUGCCCUGGCUGCAGCAACUGCACAAGGCCCCCUACGAGGAGGCCCACAAGGCCCUCUGCACCUUGCCUGGGGUGGGCACCAAGGUAGCUGACUGCAUCUGCUUGAUGGCCCUAGACAAGCCCCAGGCCGUGCCCGUGGAUAUCCACAUGUGGCAGAUUGCCCAGCGUGACUACAGCUGGCACCCCACCAUGUCCCAGGCCAAGGGUCCAAGCCCCCAGGCUAACAAGGAACUGGGAACCCAGAGCUGCAGCCAAGAGCAGCCUCUGUUCCACCCACUGUCAGCCAGAAGUGAAAAGAUGAGCCAGACUGGGCCAUGGCAAGGCCGCUGCAGGGCCUGGACUAUAGCAAACAGGAAGCAGUGAUAAACUGACCGAGGAAGUACCACCCUGGAUGCAGUCUCCCCAGCCAGCCAGGCCCAAGACUCCAGGUUUCUCCUUCUCCAAAUCAAAACACUCAGGAGGACGCUGACCUUCAGGAGAACAGCAGAGAAGACCCCAGAGCAGCUUGUACAAAGCUCUCAGCCAUGGCAACAAGGUCACUGAGUGAGGAAACAGGAGUAUGAAUGAGGAAAGGGAGGCAAGCAGAUGGAGUGAAUGAACAAAGGAGUCAGAGUCUUCAGUCUUCACAGACCAGAAAUAUUCUUUCAUUGCUCCCAUCGCUCUGGAAGCCUUCCCAAACUGAUUCCAGGAAGCUCUGAUCAUUUUAGAAAUGCCUCUUUUUUACUGAUACCAAAAGAAGACAACACAGAAAAGCAAUGAGAAAACACUCAACAACAGUAAAGAGAAGAGCCAAGGUUUGUUAAGCGUUUGGAAUGUAUGUUAAGCAUGUUGUGACAGAGGCUGCUGGCUGUCCAGCUACACUACAUUUCCCAGACUUCCUUGUGGUCAGAUGUGGCCAUGUGACAAACUCUCUCCAGUGGAAAGCGAUCAGAAGAGAUAAGAGCCACAGCCAGUCAUGGCCAUAAACCCCAUAAACCUUCCUUCACACAUUCUUCCUUGCUCUUUUUCUGUGGGCUUGGAGUAGUAAUCAUACCCAGAAUGACCUUGUGCAGAGCAGGUUUAGGGUGGCAAAACCAUCACAGACUGGGUCCUUGUCUGAUGGGGUGGGGCUGAGAUCUCUCCCCUCCCCCACCUCAGCCAACCUGGAACACGUGGCCCCAGACUGUUACACGAGAGAGAAAAACACUACUGUGUUUGAGCCAGGGAGAAAACUAAGGCUCAGUGAGGUGAAAGGAUGUGCCUAAGGCCAGAUAGUGGGCAUAAAGAAAGGGACUCUGUAUCUGGGGUUUGAAUCCUGCUUCUGUUUAUUAGCUGCAUGACUCCAAGCAAACAGUUCCUUUUUCUGAGCCUCAAUCUUCUAGUAUGUAACAUGGAGCAAACCACUGUCCUUGCCUCCAACAAAAGGAUGCGUGGAAAGCCCCUUGCACAGGGGUCAGCCCUUAGCCAACAUUCAGCAAAAGUAACUGUGGUAUAGUGGCUACUUCUGGGAGAGGUUACAGACUGGGGGGGUUGACACAAGAGAGGCUUGUGUAGGAUAUUGGCAAGCUUUGUUUCUGUUAGGCUAUAUAUACAUGUGUGCUCAUAUAUGAAAAUUUAUCAAUUUAUACAUGUAAUAUCUCUGCACCUUUAUAAAUAUGUGAUAUACUUCAAAAGAAAAUAAAACAUUAAAACAGAAAGCAUGCAUAAUUCUGUCUUGAGUUAGGAUGCUCACCUCCACCAGGGCCUGUAGGAGGCGCUGCGUCAGAGCACCAAAGGGGCACCCAUCUUCGGGCUGUUCAUGCUGGGCCUCAGAUUUCUUUAGCAGGGCAUCCACAUCUGAAGUAGACAGAGAAGUAGUACACAGGUGGGCUAAGUUCUUCUAGGAACUCAAGUCCUGGCCUGGUGUGGGCAGGAAGGCGAGGGGCCUACCUUUAGUGUCCAGUUCGGUCAGUGGCCCCAUAAGGCCUUUCUUCUUGUCUGCCACGGCUGCUGCCCGGGCCCCAUCCUUCUGUUCCUCCAGCAGGUCCUCCUGUGCCCAGCGUUGGGAGUAGUGCUUCCCCAAGGGUGGGAUCUGGUGGGGAGAUGCCACCCGGCCCAAAAAGGGUAAACACUGGCAAGCCAUGCCUGGGGUUGGUAGGGGCUCUCUGCGCACUUUGGGCACUGCCAAAAAGCUCAUGAUUCGUUCCUUCACUUAUCUGUCUCCAAGUACCUACCCCAGGGCUGAGGCCUAUGCUUUGCGUAGAUGGGAAGAAACAAAGGAGAUAAAAAUCUAUAUGCUCACAGUCUGGUAAGGGAGACAGGUACAUAAUGAACUAAGACACACACAGGGGCCAGUAUGGAAAAUUUCCAAGAUACAGGUGCAGAAUGGUAUGUGUACAUGGACCAUCUCAAGUCACAGCUAUUGUCCCUAGAAAGAACUAGGAAGCUUAGGGUCAGGAGAGGAAAUUGUCUUUUGUAUUACUUGAAUUUACUACUGCCUAUAUGGACUACCUUUUCAAAUAAAUUUUCUUUUUCAAGUAAGUUUUUUAAAAAUUCAAAGAACUGAUGUGCUAGAGGUAGGUCAAGGUGCUGUGGCACAUGAAAGAGAAAUUUUCUGCAAGCAAUCUGCAAAGGCAUUUUGGUGGAGAUAAGAGAUCAGUGCUUUGAAGGAUGAGCUAGUUUGCCAAGGGAAAAGGAGGAGCAUGUACAGAAGCCCAGAGACCAGCAAGGAUCCUGUGUGGGCCUAGAGUGAGGGUAAGGUGCUUGUCGGGGCUGGUAAAUGCAGCAGUGAGGAGGGGGAAUGACUGAGGAAACUGGAGACGGGUGGUGGGUCUGUGUCAUCAAGGACCAAACUACUUGGAAUCGAUCUUGUGCCAAAGAGGAGCCAGAGGAGGCCUGGGAACAGGGCUGUGUCACAUCUGAUCAUGACAGCUGGACUAUGGGAGAGUUCUCCCAAACACUUAUUUUCUACAUUUUCUUUGAUGGAAACUGUUUUAUUUACAUCAUAAGAAACCUAACUUUUACAUACUAAAGAAAAAAAAAGUCCCUUUGGAGACAGGGAACUGUCUUGACACCACUUGGACAAAAACUGAUGAAGUCUUGAAUCAAAGCAGAGGGGCACCUGGGUGGCUCAGCUGGUGAAGCGUUUGACUUUAACUCAGGUCAUGAUCUCACCAUUCCUGAGUUCAAGCUCCGACUGAGGCUCUGUGCUGACAGCUCUGAGCCUGGAGUCUGCUUCAGAUUCUGUGUCUCCCUCUCUCUCUGCCCACUCGCAUUCUGUCUCUCUCUCUCAAAAAUAAACAAACGUUAAAAAAAAAAAAAAAAAAA